rnacentral:lncRNA from 1 species
AUUUGUUUCAAAUUUUUGUUUCAGAACCGGCGCUCCGAAGCGAAUGUCGCAUUUUCUAACGCGGGCGUACAAAGGUGCAUCCCUCCCAGACCUCGCGAUUCCGAACGCAUGUCUUCUCGCGAGGCUUGGCGCACCAUCUGCGGCGCCGAUUUCGCUGGUUGUGCGUUUGAAUCGAAGCAUGCAGAAAGUCGUUCCUCUCGGUCUUCUUACACCAACCACUUCCACAUUUCCACCUUUCCAACAGCCCUCGAUGGCGCUCUCACGCUGCGGGGCUUCCCUCAGAGGAGCCCCCGUGGAGCAACCCAUGGAAAGUUUCCCCUUCUCACGCCAAUUUCUCAGAGUCCGGCGCGCGCGUCUUUCGCCUGGUUGUUCUUCGCGACGAAGUCAAAACUCCUCUCCUCCUGUGGGCCAACCGGUUUGGGACUCGCCCUUGCUGCCCAGCCAUCUGCUUCCACCGACCGACACCCUUCGUUCCCCCAGGCGUCAUCGCUCCACCGUCGUUUAUUUCCCCUCGUCUAGCUGUCGGACCUUUUCUUCGUCGCCUUCUCCAUCGGUCCCUGAACUCCCCUCUGCUCACACUUUUUCCUGGCCUCUAAGUCUUCGCCUGUCCGCCUCAGUCCUGGACUCUAACCCCCGCUCAUUUCCUUCGUCUCCGUUUCCCGCGACUAUCUCUUUUCCUCUAGAUGCCCCUGUUUCGUCUGGGUCUCGAGCCUUUCCGCUCUGCGGAUCUUCUUCAGAACUGCAGAGUGGAAGCCUCCUGUCAGACACCGUAAAGCCGAGCUUCGUCUGGAGGUCGCCCGUCGACCCAGUUCCUGUUUUGUGCUUGAGGCAAACAAGGACGGCGGGGCAGGGUGACCGGGAAAAAUGCGUCAUUUCGAAGCCUCCGCAGCGUCAAAUCGGAGAAGGUAUACGGGCAGGCGGCCCCCUGUCAAGAAUAAAGCAAAUGAGACACCCGCUGUCACCCGUCGUGCCGCCCACCGCUUUCAGUGUACACACUCCGUAUCUGGGUCCACUGAGAGCGCCACAGGUGGAGCAGCCUGAUGAAGCAAGCAGCAGAUUUGUUUCUGCCGCAGAGAGCAGAGAGUUUGAAUGGUGGCAGAACUCAGGUGAAAAAGGAGAGCUGCGGGAACCGUCCAUGCGUGUGCGUGAGACAGCGGACGCGAGUAUCCAGUGCUCCGAUAGAAAACGAAAGAUCUUGAAUGGGACGGAGUACAUUCGCAGGAAGAGUUCACACAGGGGAAGGAUUAAGAGAGGCAGUCAAGCACCCGCCUUCAAGCGUUGAUGAACCGUGAAACGAGAGAAACAUAGACCAGUUGACCGACAAGGCCUGUUGCCGGUAAAGUGCUGGGGAAAACUCGUGAUAGAUGCAAACGCUGCGUGCUGACCACUUGCCAGGCGGUACCUGCUUUCUCGGAUCCGAAGUGUCGAAGGGUCGGUGUGGUCUGGUCAAAACCCGGGGGCCACGAAUAGAUUUUACCUGCGUGCUACUUAUGCGGGUACGGGUGAUGCAUGUCUGGUUUGGAAACGCUGCAUUUGCAUGUUUUUCAAUUCAUUUUAAUG